UACGUAGGGUGCAAGCGUUAAUCGGAAUUACUGGGCGUAAAGCGUGCGCAGGCGGUUAUGUAAGACAGGUGUGAAAUCCCCGGGCUUAACCUGGGAACUGCAUUUGUGACUGCAUAGCUAGAGUACGGUAGAGGGGGAUGGAAUUCCGCGUGUAGCAGUGAAAUGCGUAGAUAUGCGGAGGAACACCGAUGGCGAAGGCAGCCCCCUGGGUCAAGAUUGACGCUCAUGCACGAAAGCGUGGGGAGCAAACAGG
rnacentral:rRNA from 1 species